rnacentral:rRNA from 1 species
GACGAACGCUGGCGGCGUGCUUAACACAUGCCAGUCGAACGGAAAGGCCCUGCUUUUUUGGGGUGCUCGGGUGACGAACGGGUGAGUAACACGUACGUAACCUGCCCUUGACUUUGGGAUAACUUAAGGAAACUUGAUCUCAUACCGGAUAGGAGCUCCUACUGCAUGGUGGUGGUUGGAACGUUUCGGCGGUUGGGGCUGGACUCGCGGCUGAUCAGCUUGUUGGUGGAGUAGUGGCUUACCAAGGCUUAGACGGGUAGCCGGCACUGGAGGUGGGCCGGCCACAUGGGGACUGCGGUAGGGCCCAGACGGGUACGGGAGGCAGUAGUCGGGAGUAUUGCACAAUGGGGGGGAGCGUGAUGUAGCGACGCCGCGUGCGGGAUGACGGCCUUUGGGUUGUAAACCGCUUUCUCCUGAGAAGGAGCGGUAGUGACGGUAACGUAUAAAGAAGCACCGGCUAACUACGUG